CCAAUUGAAAGCAUAACCAUGCAGGCAAGUAACGGAUAAAAAAAGGUUGACACGUUUAUCUCUUAGUACGGCCUAUCUGAGUGAAGAAACAUCUUCCAAAUCAAGCGAAGAUGUUUAACCCUGUAGAAAUCUUCUUGUUGGCUCUUAACGACCAUUAAUUCUGUGGAGCUUCCUAGUCAGGGCAGGGACUCAAAUAUGUAUUCAGUAAAAUUCUAAUAUGACUAUUAUUGAUGACGUGGCAUGGUCAGUUAAAGAAGCUGAGUUGGAGGAAUAUUCCCAAUUUACUGUGGGGGAAGACUGGGCCCAUAAGCGGUUCGAAGCCCAAAAUAUAUGAACGAGACAAACUUCUUUCUUCAACCCAAGUAUAGGCUUGGAGAGUUCUAUUCUGUAAAUCAUUUUCUUAAUGGGCUUUACGAAAGUGGCAGUGCAACUAUUGGAUCUUUCCCUCAAAUUGAUCUCAAUAUGGGCGUUGAAUGCACUUCAAGCUCUUUGGGCUAUCAUUGGAUAUGACUUGUGAAGUAGCGAGGUUUUUUUAUUUUAUUUUUUUUUUAAGGAUUAUUCUCUUUUAAUCGUGAGGAAAUUGUUUCACAACACCUUAAUUAUUUUGCUGCUGGUAUUACACUAUCAUAUGCCAGCCAUGUUUGGGUGCUGUUUUGCGUGAAUACAUAAUGAUGGUAGGA